rfam:Pseudozyma hubeiensis SY62 DNA, scaffold: PHS23.
GGCUGGUUGGUGAAGUGGUUAACACACUGGUUUUAGGCUAUAUGCGAUCCUGACCAAUUUGCAACGUUGCAAAUGUACAUCUUGUUCGACCCCUCCUAUCAUACACCAGGAUUCCUGGGUUCGAUCCCCAGACUAGUCA